rnacentral:rRNA from 1 species
AUUGAACGCUGGCGGCAGGCCUAACACAUGCAAGUCGAACGAGUGGCGGACGGGUGAGUAAUGUCUGGGAAACUGCCUGAUGGAGGGGGAUAACUACUGGAAAAAGUAGCUAAUACCGCAUACCAUCGGAUGUGCCCAGAUGGGAUUAGCUAGUAGGUGGGGUAACGUCUCACCUAGGCGACGAUCCCUAGCUGGUCUGAGAGGAUGACCAGCCACACUGGAACUGAGACACGGUCCAGACUCCGACGGGAGGCAGCAGUGGGGAAUAUUGCACAAUGGGCGCAAGCCGGAUGCAGCCAUGCCGCGUGUAUGAAGAAGGCCUUCGGGUUGUAAAGUACUUUCAGCGGGGAGGCGUUACUCGCAGAAGAAGCACCGGCUAACUCCGGGCCAGCAGCCGCGGUAAUUC